rnacentral:tRNA from 1 species
CAUUAAGAAGCUAAACAAGCGUUAACCUUUUAAGUUAAAGACUGGGAAUUUAACCUCCCCUUAGUGA